UGCCACAAACACAUGAUCCACCAAACUGCCGCCUUUAAGGAAGAAAAGAUCCAAAAAUCUAACUUCAAGUGCUGGGGCAGGAGGACUAACACGAUAAAUCUGACAGACUGUAAGAGUCCAUUGGCUGAGAACUGUACUGUAGGCCGGCAUACAGAACACCUCCAUCUAACUGGACGUGUCUUUCAGAGUCUCUUGGGUCCUCCUGUCCCAGGGAUUUCUGAGGGAAGAGCCAUGAUUAAUAAAUUGUUACUUGGAUUCAGAAGGUUGUUGGAGCCGUGGCCGUGGAUAAGCCGAGAUGAAUAUGGCAACAUGGAGAUUAUUAAUUUGUGUAAUGAUCCUUGUAUGAUCCAGCUAGCUUGUUUCUCUGAAGAAAUGUUUUAUCAUCAUAAAAUAAAGGUUUAUAUUACCUUCCAGGACAUUUAUGGUGCAACAGGGAAUAAUACUAAGACAGUAGAUAAACUCAAGAAACUGUGCCAUGAACAAGAUACUUUAAUUAAACAUAGAUUAUCAAGAUUGAAGAAUAAAGUUAACGAAAAACACUGUAGAUCUAAAUUUAAAUAUUUAAAAGGAGGCGAUGAUGAGACAUUAAAAAACAACAGUUAAAUUAUCAAAAACUAUAUCACAACAGAAAUUAAGAAAAUAACAGAUGAAAAAAG